UGCGAAGACUUCAAUUUCACA
rnacentral:piRNA from 1 species